rnacentral:misc_RNA from 1 species
AAGUUCUUGAACAAAUCCUCCACUGCAAUAGGGGCAUACUGCAUCUCGCCCUCGCAGCCGAACUGGCCUCCUGCAUCUAUAACACCAAUGGGAAUUUCUGCCACUUGACAUUCUCGUCUCCUCCCUAAAUGUCGUCUCAAAUCUCUAACAGACUAUCGUUGCAAGCACUCAGGCUUUAAACUGUUAUCUGUUAUGUAUUGGCUAACAAUCUCUAGGAGAGCUAUAGGAUCUGAUAGCGAACUUUGUGAGGGAGCAAGAGCAUAGUCUAACCCUAAUGGACUUCCCGGAAGAAAAAGUGGUUUUUAU